AUCUAUAGUCCUGUGACCCUGACUGUGCCAGUCUUUGUCUGACCUCAGAAGCUAAGCAGGGUUAGGCCUGGUUAGUAUUGGGAUGAGACAAAAUUUAGCAGGUUCUUAGAAAGCAAGAAUAAUUAGGCAACUAAAUU
rnacentral:rRNA from 1 species